UACGUAGGGGGCAAGCGUUGUCCGGAUUUAUUGGGCGUAAAGAGCGUGUAGGCGGUUCGGUAGGUCCGUUGUGAAAACUCGAGCUCAACCUCGAGACGCCGAUGGAAACCCCCGAACUAGAGUCCGGAAGAGGAGAGUGGAAUUCCUGGUGUAGCGGUGAAAUGCGCAGAUAUCAGGAGGAACACCAAUGGCGAAGGCAGAUCUCUGGGCCGUAACUGACGCUGAGGAGCGAAAGCAUGGGGAGCGAACAGG
rnacentral:rRNA from 1 species